GAGUUUGAUCAUGGCUCAGAAUGAACGCUAGCGGCGUGGAUUAGGCAUGCAAGUCGUACGAGAAAGUCCCUUCGGGGGCGAGUAAAGUGGCGAACGGGUGAGUAAUGCGUAAAUGACCUGCCCUCAUGACGGGGAUAACAGUUCGAAAGGACUGCUAAUACCGGAUGUGAUCUUUGGCUCACGGGCUGGAGAUUAAAGAUAGCCUCUGUUUCAAGCUGUCGCAUGGGGAGGGGUUUACGUGCUAUUAGCUAGUUGGUGGGGUAACGGCCCACCAAGGCGAUGAUGGCUAGCCGGCCUGAGAGGGUGUCCGGCCGCACUGGGACUGAGACACUGCCCAGGCUCCUACGGGAGGCUGCAGUCGAGAAUCUUCCACCAAUGCGGGAAACCGUGAUGGAGCGACGCCGCGUGUGCGAUGAAGGCCCUCGGGUUGUAAAGCACUGUCAGUUAACCCUAAUCCCCGGGGGUGAAUAGCUUUCAGGGUUGAAGUGUUAGCAGAGGAAGCACCGGCUAAAUCCGUGCCAGCAGCCGCGGUAAUACGGAUGGUGCAAGCGUUAUUCGGAAUCACUGGGCAUAAAGGGCACGUAGGCGGCGUCGUAAGUCAGUGGUGAAAUCCCCCGGCUCAACCCGGGGAAACUGCCAUUGAUACUGCGAUGCUAGAGUGUGGGAGGGGCAGACGGAAUUUCCAGGUGGAGCGGUGAAAUGGCGUAGAUUAUCUUGGAGGAACGCCAGGGGCGAAAGCGGUCUGCUGGCCCACACUGACGCUGAGGUGGCGAAAGCUAAGGGGGAGGCAAACAGGAUUAGGAUA
rnacentral:rRNA from 1 species